rnacentral:rRNA from 1 species
UGGCGGCUUUAGCGCGGUGGUCCCACCUGACCCCAUGCCGAACUCAGAAGUGAAACGCCGUAGCGCCGAUGGUAGUGUGGGGUCUCCCCAUGUGAGAGUAGGACACUGCCAGGCA